rnacentral:rRNA from 1 species
AAGUCGUAACAAGGUCUCCGUUGGUGAACCAGCGGAGGGAUCAUUACCGAGUUAUACGACUCAUCAACCCUGUGAACAUACCUAAAACGUUGCUUCGGCGGGAACAGACGGCCCUGUAACAACGGGCCGCCCCCGCCAGAGGACCCCUAACUCUGUUUUUAUAAUGUUUUUCUGAGUAAACAAGCAAAUAAAUUAAAACUUUCAACAACGGAUCUCUUGGCUCUGGCAUCGAUGAAGAACGCAGCGAAAUGCGAUAAGUAAUGUGAAUUGCAGAAUUCAGUGAAUCAUCGAAUCUUUGAACGCACAUUGCGCCCGCCAGUAUUCUGGCGGGCAUGCCUGUUCGAGCGUCAUUACAACCCUCAGGCCCCCGGGCCUGGCGUUGGGGAUCGGCGGAAGCCCCCUGUGGGCACACGCCGUCCCUCAAAUACAGUGGCGGUCCCGCCGCAGCCUCCAUUGCGUAGUAGCUAACACCUCGCAACUGGAGAGCGGCGCGGCCAUGCCGUAAAACACCCAACUUCUGAAUGUUGACCUCGAAUCAGGUAGGAAU